rnacentral:tRNA from 1 species
AUUUAUAUAGUUUAAAUAAUAAAACAUUACAUUUUCAAUGUAAAAAUAAAAAUAAUUUUUUAUAAAUA